rnacentral:rRNA from 1 species
GAUGAACGCUGGCGGCGUGCCUAAUACAUGCAAGUCGAGCGAACAGACGAGGAGCUUGCUCCUCUGACGUUAGCGGCGGACGGGUGAGUAACACGUGGAUAACCUACCUAUAAGACUGGGAUAACUUCGGGAAACCGGAGCUAAUACCGGAUAAUAUAUUGAACCGCAUGGUUCAAUAGUGAAAGACGGUUUUGCUGUCACUUAUAGAUGGAUCCGCGCCGCAUUAGCUAGUUGGUAAGGUAACGGCUUACCAAGGCAACGAUGCGUAGCCGACCUGAGAGGGUGAUCGGCCACACUGGAGCUGAGACACGGUCCAGACUCCUACGGGAGGCAGCAGUAGGGAAUCUUCCGCAAUGGGCGAAAGCUUGACGGAGCAACGCCGCGUGAGUGAUGAAGGUCUUCGGAUCGUAAAACUCUGUUAUGAGGGAAGAACAAAUGUGUAAGUAACUAUGCACGUCUUGACGGUACCUAAUCAGAAAGCCACGGCUAACUACGUG